rnacentral:rRNA from 1 species
AUUGAACGCUGGCGGCAGGCCUAACACAUGCAAGUCGAGCGGAGCGGCGGACGGGUGAGUAAUGCCUAGGAAUCUGCCUGGUCGUGGGGGAUAACGUCCGGAAACGGGCGCUAAUACCGCAUACUAUCAGAUGAGCCUCGGUCGGAUUAGCUAGUUGGUGGGGUAUAGGCCUACCAAGGCGACGAUCCGUAACUGGUCUGAGAGGAUGAUCAGUCCCACUGGAACGGAGACACGGUCCAGACUACUACGGGAGGCAGCAGUGGGGAAUAUUGGACAAUGGGCGAAAGCCUGAACCAGCCAUGCCGCGUGUGUGGAGAAUGUCUUCGGAUUGUAAAGCACUUUAAGUUGGGAGGCGUUACCAACAGAAGAAGCACCGGCUAACUUCGUGCCAGCCGCCGCGGUAAUUC